UACAUUCACACCGGCUGGUUUCGGUUUGUCUUAAAUACAACAUGCAUAAAAGUAGAAGUUCAAAUCGGCGAUAUUUCAUUCACGCGACAAAAUUGGUGGAAAACGCAACAGCCAACCAGAUGGGAAUUCCAACUGUACCGAAGAUUCGUUUUUCCCUGCUGCCUUGGAUUUGCUUCCUAGUGCUACAAUUCUCAUUCGGCCACGCAUCGGAAGCUGUAAGCCAAUGUCGCGAGGAUUAAGAAUCCUUGACCCAAGGUACCUACUGCCUUGAUGGUUCUUGUGGCGGACGAUGCAUUCCUUGUCAAGACUUCCUGAGACAACCAUUAUCUUCUAUUGAUUGUGCCAAGCGUGAAGAAGACUGUGGCCAUUGCCUCAGUGGAACUGUUUCUGAAGAACUGCCGGAAAUGCACCACGUCUUGGUUGACGAGGUAUCCACUCAGUCUUUUACCAUAUUCGGAUGGACUAUUCGGGAUUUAGUCGAAUUGGCAUUCAUGGUCAUCGGUUUUUGUCAAGGUCUUCGCUAUCUAUAUUCGUUUUUCAAGGAUAUAAUAUCAGAUAUCUGCCAUUGUAUUAAGUGGUUUGGAAAGUCACCACCUACUUCAGACGAAGAAGAUAACGGAGAAAGCUGCAACGAGCAAUUGACAUUGGAAAUUGUUGUUUUGUCGCAAGCUGAAACAAAGUUUCGUG